AUGAGCGCCUCACUGGCUGGACUGAAGGUGGAGGUGAAGUACUUACAGAAAGAAAAUGAAGUAUUAACAGCUAAAACACGAGAACUGGAGCUGCUGAAGCAACAGGACCAAGCAAAUAAAAAAGAACUGGAGUCACUAAAGAGAGAGCUGGACAAGUUGAAGCAACAGGACCAAGCUCAUGAAGGAGAACUGAUCACCAUUAAAGCCUCCGCAAACAUCACUGAAAACCAAGUGGAGGCUCUGAGUAGAGAAGGAGAAGUGAAACAAGUGGCUUUCUCAGCCUCUCUGAUGGACUCGGGCUCAGGAGAUGUUGGACCUUUUAAUGCACAAACAGCUCUGGUCUUCAGACAUGUUGUUACUAAUAUUGGAAAUGCCUACGGCCCAAAUACAGGUACUCAGUUUCACUAAAUACUAUUAACACAUCGAUCUUCUGCUACUCCAGUGAGAAUCAAGGGGAACUGGGUUUUUUUCUCCAGUCCAUCAUGGACAUGUCACACCAACCCUCACUCCCACUUAGUGAAAAGUUAGACUAGCCACGUAACCUAACAUUCAUGUUUUCAUUAAAACAUUUUACAGGUUUUUUCACUGCACCUGUGAGAGGAGUCUUAUCACUUUGUGUUCCACAUAAAUGGACAUGGACAUGGACAUGCUUUACAUGCUACAGGAGCUGUGUUGUUUAAGAAUGGAGAAAAGACCUUCAUUGCAUACGAGCGUCAGCCUUCCUAUUUUGCUAGUACGACCAACAGUGUCAUACUGCUGUUGAAGGUUGGAGAUGCUGUGUUUCUGCGUCAGUGUGAAAAUACAAGGGUUCAUGACAGUCACAACCAUCACACCACCUUCAGUGGUCACCUGAUUUUCAUCAUGUGAGCAACAGAUGUUAGAAAAUCAGAUGUUUUAUUAGAUCAUUUCACACAUUCAGCCAUUUCAUAAUGUAACCCAGGCCAUCACUGCAUCAACCUGAUGAUGCAAAUUUGUACAUAUUCAUAAUGUAUACACCAGACGUGCGGACUCGAGUCACAUGACUUAGACUCGAGUCAAUAUUUUAAUGACUUCUGACUUGAUAAAAUCUAUAAAGACUUACGACUUGACUGACUUGAACGCCAAUGACUUGCAACUUGAAUCGACUUGCAUCUGUUGACUUGAUGAUUACUUAAGCAUAUUUGAUAUUUUGGCACAAAAAUGGCACGACAUGGACAAAAAUCAUAAAUCAAUGUUCGCUCUGGGUUUGAUCUUGUACUGCUAAAUGCAGCAGCACUUUGUUUAGAAUCAGUUUCAGUUGCACUUUCUGCUUGUUUGAACAAACAAAUAAAACUUUAAGAAGCUUUAUUUCCGGAGUUUAUUUAUUAUCAUCGUAAUUAAAUUGAAGUUGAACAGAUUACUUGAAUAUGACUUGAAAAUUCAAAGUUAAGGACUUGGACUCCCACAUCAUUGACUUUGGACUCACCUUGGACUUGGUUGUCUUUGACUUGGACUUUAUUUGAUACUUGACUGGAAAGACGUGUGACUUACU
rnacentral:lncRNA from 1 species